GCCGCGAUGGCGGAAUUGGUAGACGCGCUAGGUUCAGGACCUAGUAGGUGCAAGCCUGUGGGGGUUCGAGUCCCUUUCGCGGCA
rnacentral:tRNA from 1 species